GGAGAGGAAUUUUACUAGAAUUUUGAGGCUGAAGAAGAGGAGGAGAACUCAAGCAAAGUGUAUCCAUGGCUGAAUCUUGGUUCAAUCUGCACAUCACUGGUUUUUAAUUCGGUUUGAACUCUUCAAAAGGAAUUAAGAGAAGUCAUGCCACCAUGUACUGGCAGACGACGCCGGCAGAAUCAGGACGGGAUGCAAGGUCCGACCCAAGGUCCAUCUAUAGGGGAAUCUAGUACCUAAGAGUUCGAGGUGGGGCAAGAAAUGAGCAGUUUGCGAGAACAACACAGGAAAUAGGAAGACCAGAUAGAGCAGAGCCUAGUGAUCCAGAAAAGGCAUAUGGAAUUGAACGACUAAAGAAGUUAGGGGCUACAGUGUUUGAGGGUUCCACAGAUCCAGCUGAUGAAGAGAA